rnacentral:rRNA from 1 species
GACGAACGCUGGCGGCGUGCUUAACACAUGCAAGUCGAACGGUGAAGGGACCGGUUUUUGCUGGUUCUGGAUGAGUGGCGAACGGGCGAGUAACACGUGAGUAACCUGCCCCCUUCUUCUGGAUAACCGCAUGAAAGUGUGGCUAAUACGGGAUAUUCUGCGCCUGCUGCAUGGUGGGUGUGGGAAAGAUAUUGUUUCGGUGGGGGAUGGGCUCGCGGCCUAUCAGCUUGUUGGUGGGGUGAUGGCCUACCAAGGCGGUGACGGGUAGCCGGCCUGAGAGGGUGGACGGUCACACUGGGUCGGAGACACGGCCCAGACUCCUACGGGAGGCAGCAGUGGGGAAUAUUGCACAAUGGGCGCAAGCCUGAUGCAGCGACGCCGCGUGAGGGAUGGAGGCCUUCGGGUUGUAAACCUCUUUCGCCAGUGAAGCAGGCCUGUCCCUUUUGUGGGUGGGUUGACGGUAGCUGGAGAAGAAGCGCCGGCUAACUACGUG